rnacentral:rRNA from 1 species
UGCGUAGGCGGCUAUAUUAGUCGGGUGUAAAAUUCUGGGGCUCAACCUCAGGUCCGCAUUCGAAACGGUAUAACUAGAAGACGUGAGAGGUUAAGAGAACUCUCGGUGUAGGGGUGAAAUCCGUUGAUAUCGAGGGGAAUACCAAAUGCGAAGGCACUUAACUGGCGCGUUCUUGACGCUGAGGCACGAAAGCGUGGGUAGCGAACG